rnacentral:lncRNA from 1 species
UAUAAAUAAAACAUUAUAUUGAUAUUAAUGAGCUUCAACCAAUGGGUAUUGGUUAAUACACAGAAACACAUAGGAAAAUAUAUGUACAUACUUAAAAGAAGUAUGUACAUAUAAGUACUAUUUUACUUGAGAAUGAGUUUGUUAGCUAUCAAAUUUAAAAUUGUAUUGAAAUAUUUAAUAUACAAUUUUAAAUCAAUGGCUACCAAACUCGUUCAACAAAGUAUUUAAAUACAUAAAUUUUAUCAUGACAAACUCGUUCCUCAUAUAUAGUCGAGUUUAUGGCAACUUUACCUUAAAUGUAUAUAUGCUAUAUCCAGCGAUGCAUGUAAAGUUGCAGAAAUGAAGAUUCUAAUGCUUUGGACAAUGCUUAGGAUUUGGUGUGGGAAUUUGAGUGCAAGGGUUGGGCCCUGAAGAUUCUACAGGUGCUUUCUGCGGAAUAUCCACCACCUUCUUAUUAGCUGCAAAUAUUUGCUUAUCAGUGCGAUGCAGAGUUCUUGCAGUUACGAUAGGAUUAAUAUUGAGAAUAAUAAUGAGGAGCAAGAUCAAGGUUGCCAUUUUCUUGGUAUUCAGGCAGAGCAGUUUGCUAGUUGAUGAAUCCAUUGCUGUCUAUCAAUAAUAAAGAUCAGAGAAAAAGGAGAUGAUCUUUUUUUCUAAGGAGAGGAAGACAAUUGUAAGGGUUUGUGUCUGUAAGGAGAGUAUGCGGUUUGGUAUAUAGUGUAAAAAGGAAGUGGGUGC